rnacentral:rRNA from 1 species
GACGAACGCUGGCGGCGUGCUUAACACAUGCAAGUCGAACGCUGAAGCUUGGUGCUUGCACUGGGUGGAUGAGUGGCGAACGGGUGAGUAAUACGUGAGUAACCUGCCCUUGACUCUGGGAUAAGCCUGGGAAACUGGGUCUAAUACUGGAUACGACAUGUCACCGCAUGGUGGUGUGUGGAAAGGGUUUUACUGGUUUUGGAUGGGCUCACGGCCUAUCAGCUUGUUGGUGGGGUAAUGGCUCACCAAGGCGACGACGGGUAGCCGGCCUGAGAGGGUGACCGGCCACACUGGGACUGAGACACGGCCCGGACUCCUACGGGAGGCAGCAGUGGGGAAUAUUGCACAAUGGGCGGAAGCCUGAUGCAGCGACGCCGCGUGAGGGAUGACGGCCUUCGGGUUGUAAACCUCUUUCAGCACGGAAGAAGCGAAAGUGACGGUACGUGCAGAAGAAGCGCCGGCUAACUACGUG